CUCUCUGGUGAUCUCUGCAUGUCUGAUUUUUUUCUGAAGCAUACUUAUUCUGGUAUGAGGAUCAGGAUGUCUCCUUUAGAAAUCCAGCCAUAUGCCGGGGCAAAUUCUGUUCUUCCUAUUCCCAGUCUAAAGCCAGUCAAAAACAUCCAUUGGAUUGUAACACCUAAAAGACCCAAGAACCUUUGUGAAAACACAUACAGGUUUCCCUAUGGCAAACUCAUGUAGACAUAAAUGGUCUGCACAAGGCAACUUAGGGUUUUAACCAGAACUUGAGAAACUGGGCCUGAAUACAUCUGGCUCUCAGUAACACAUGUUCUGAGACUGUCCCUCAGUGAUAUCCAACUUUCUACAGUUUGGUAAAAUAAUACCACCUUUAUCACAUAUAAUCACUUUGUGCCAAGUCUCAAGUGGUCAUUUGAGCUUUUUCUGUAUAUAUGAAUGCCAGUGAAGUGUCCAUCAUUGAUGCAAGAGCAUAAACAUGUGAACAGCAAAAGAACAUGUAGGAGACUUAGCUUCUGAAUGCUGAUUUUUUUUUUUGUUUGUUUGCAAGCAACUUCAGCCAGAGGGAAAAAAACCCAAGAUAUUAGAGCUGUGCUCUGCAGUUCUCAAGAGCUGUUACUAUAAUAGCAGAUUUUCUGGGUUGUUCUUGUUAACCUAGUAGUUUGUGUUCUCUCAAAAUGCUUUUCUGCUUAUUUAUUUCUAUGUGAACUCUUUCUGCAAACUCAAUGUAUGGAAGCUAUAGAGCUCUCUUUGAGAGUGCUUUUUUAGCCAACUGUUUUCUGCUGCUAGUGCUAAUUACAUGAUGUGUAAUAUCAUAAGAAUUCCUUUAGAAAGCAGCAACAUGAAAUCAAGAUCUUUUCUGUUUCAAGGAAAUGCUGCUUUUAUUUUGUCAUAGAAAAGUGCUGUCCUUCAUCUUCUGAUCUCACUGAAACUGCAGUAAUAAGAACAGAUGCAUAAUGAGAAUGGUAAAUUGUUCACAUAGUCAUUAAUAAAACAGUUACGUUGU
ensembl:lncRNA